UUUAGCGUGUUCCUAUGCCUGUGUGCCAAAAACAAAAACAAAAUAUCCUUGCGGUGCCACAAAAUUUUCAUCUCCGGUUUCUGCUAGCGUUUAUAUGUAUAUAGACUCUGAUUUCUGCUUGUUUUGUGCUACAAAAUCUAUAUUAUUAUCCGGUACCGGAUCCAGAACUGCAGCUGGAUUCGCAAUGCUGGCGCUGAGUAAAAGGCAGAUGUGAACCGACAACACCUCCGUGGCAACCUCCUCCAAGCCGAUACGCGACACGUUCCGGUCUCCGCAACCAGAGCGUAUCAUUAGAUCUUCAGCAGCAGGAUGGAUCCUUACAGGAAGUGUUUUAUAUUGUGCCAGAACGGCAUGAAGCUACCGCACAGAGAAACUACUGGUUCGGGGAACCAGUUAGAAUCGAUUUUCAUGGUCGUUUUGUGCUCUUCGUCACAGGGGGUUUUGUCGACAAAAUCUUCCGAAAUUCAUCAGUAAGAUGCUAAUAGUAUCGAUGCAAGUUUUUAGUCCAAUAGCUUACAAAAAACCUCCUGUGACGGAAAGAACAAAGCUGCCGAAAAUACUAGUCAUACUAACUCGGCACACAGACAAUAUGAUGUAAAAAUUUAUUCCAUAUAGACAAAAAAGAGUGGAGUGAACUUUAAAAUCAAUCAAUAAUAAAAAAUCUAAAUAAAAGUG
rnacentral:lncRNA from 1 species